rnacentral:lncRNA from 1 species
CCUCGGGUCACCCCCGACAACGGUGGUGGGAGGGAGAGCGGCCUCCUCCUCCCUGGUGGGGCCUGUCUGGGUGAAGCCCCUCUGUUCCCGCCUGACUUCAGUGAAAGCUCAAGGUGCACUUGGCUGUUUCUACAGCUUCGGAGUUCCCAGCUCUGCCCAAGUUGGUGCCAGCGAGCUGUGACCUCAGGGCAGUCACUAACCUGCCCAGGCGAGUUUCCCUCCUGCCCAAUUACCCUAGUUCUCUGACCCUCCAGGACUGCCACAGAGCAAGAUCUUCACUGCGCCUUCUCUUCACUCCCAGUGUUCUUUGCAUGGCCUCAGCAUUUAUUGGAGCCGCUGUCUGAUUCAUUUUGGAUUCAUCUCGUGCACUGUGCAAUAUGCAGUGGCUCUUCAGAGCCAGCACAAUGGAGGUGACCCUUCUCCCCGUGCACCUU